CGGUUAUCCAUAAUUUGCGGUGAAAUUUCGAGUAUAUAGCAUUCAAAUUAUUAAUAUUAAUCUAGUUAAAUUAUUUCUAUUGAUCGAUCCAUCGUAUCUCAUUUCUUAACUUACCGCGUGGAAUGGUCAAUAGGACAAAACUAAAGCCGAUUAUUAAUUGAAUUGUCUAAGCAACGGUUAUUGGCAGUCCAAGUGCCACCACGCAUAGCUAGUAUCGAGGAAAAGGUGUCAAAAGGAAAACUAUUCAUUUUAAAGCUGCUAACACAGAAAAGGCUGCUAUUAAAAUUUAGUUGUCCGAACUAGAGGUCC